UCUAGACGCUUACCCGAAUUCUGCCUUUA
rnacentral:piRNA from 1 species